UACAGAGGUGGCAAGCGUUGUUCGGAAUUACUGGGCGUAAAGCGCGUGUAGGCGGCCCUGCAAGUCGGAUGUGAAAUCCCACGGCUCAACCGUGGAAGUGCAUUCGAAACUGCAGGGCUAGAGUCCUGGAGAGGAAGGUGGAAUGCUUGGUGUAGAGGUGAAAUUCGUAGAUAUCAAGCGGAACACCGGUGGCGAAGGCGGCCUUCUGGACAGUGACUGACGCUGAGACGCGAAGGCGUGGGGAGCGAACGGG
rnacentral:rRNA from 1 species